rnacentral:lncRNA from 1 species
UCCUCAGGCGGACAAGCCGUUCCCAAAGCACGGUGUGUGUCCUGCAGCAGGACACCAGGGGGCGCUAGCAGACCAUGAGACUGGCUCAUCCUCCCUAUUCCAAAGUCCCUUUUCUGUGACCGGAAUGGUCACUUGGAACAGAGUUCAGGGCAGAUGGUCAGUGGCUUAAAGCUUCCGAGGGAGCGUCUGAGAGGAAGCUGAUCCAGAUAGCGUCCGCCUGAUCCGGAUAGCGUCACUGGAGAAGCAUCAGUGUGAUGUUUCUAGAACCUCUUCUUGGGUGGUGUUUGUCAAUCGUGGAAGCUUGAAGAUGGGUGGACUUCAACUCCCAGAAUUCCCCAGCCAGCUAUGCUGACUGUGGAAUUCUGGGAGUGGAAGUCCACCCCUCUUAAAGCCUGCUGGAUGGGGAAUUCUGGGAGUGGCAGUCCACCCAUCCUGAAGCUGCCAAGCUUGUGGACAAAUCCUCCCUUAGAUGCUAUGCAGGUGAUCCUCAACUUACAACCCUUUCUCUAGCAACCAUUCAAAGUUUAGUGUUGCUCAAAAAGAGUCACUUACGACCGGUCCUCGCCCUUAUGUCCAUGGCAGUGAGUCACGUGAUCGCCACUUGGUACCUUCUCCACCCGCUUCCCACAAGCAAAGUCAGUGGGGAAGCCAGAUUAGCUCAACGGCCAUAAUUCACUUAAGAACUUUGGCGAAAAAGUCCGUAAACCCGAGUGCAACUCACUUAACAACCUCCUAACUUGGCAACAGAGAUUGUGGUCCCAACGAUGCUCGUAUGUUGAGGACCUUUGUAGUUAUAAUACCCAUUUUCCCCUACUGAGCCAAUGCUGCCUUAACAAUUCUGCAAGAAUUAACAAUUUGUUCUUUUAUACAAUUAAUCCUAACCCUUCUUCCUCUCUUCAUGCAGAUUUAAAGGUGAGUUAAUUGAACCCUAAUCCCGAUGCUAACCACCAUGCUAACUCUUAACCCUGUUGCCUCCUUAUAGAGCCAGCCAAGGAAUCUCAGGUCCUAUUUCAUCCAGCAAACGGGGCCAAGUUAAAGCACGCGGACAGUGAGGGAGACCUCUUCCCGGCCAGCGAGCCCCUCCUCUCCUCCAGCAGCUCGUGCACGCUGGCCUCGGCCAAACCAGAGGAGGAAGCUGAACCCUCGGAUCUGGAAGCGGAGGAGGCCGAAUUCUCCCUGGCACAAGACCCGCUCACCACAAACCUCUCCAUCACCGAGGAGAUCCUGGAGCUGCUUAGCCAGCGGGGCCUGGACAAGGAAACUGGAAAGGAAGGGAGGUUUUGGAGAGAAAGUAGCUCAGAAGCCCCCGGCUCGGCUCUGCAGGUAAUCGCUCGGAGUUGGUGAUUAUUAUUAUUUUCAUUGGUAAUUAUCAUGGUGCC